CACAUUUGCGUGUAUGAUUAGUGUACGAUUGAAUCGAGGGCGUCACACUGGGGAGGAGGAUCCGGAGGUGUUUGGCGAGACGGGGUUCGCUGGUGAUGAGGAGGAAGGCCGGAGCGCGGCUUCCGGGGAGGAUCCAUAGCAUCGGCGGCUCCUGGACAGAAAGGAGACACAGAGGUGAGGGAGAGAAGAAGGGAGCAAGGAGGGGCAGUGCGGCGACCUAGGCCAGAGCUCACCGGUGCCGGACAACGGCGGACGGGCGCCACUGCUGCUGCCUCCCUGGUAUUCCUCCUCUCACCUCUCUCACCUCUUCCGCCUUAACGACAUGUGCUGUGUAGCCAAAGCCUCGGUCGCACAUCACCAGCAUCUCCGGCCUUGAGUACUCCUGCCACUGCACCCAGUCGCUCGUCGCCAUGACCGGAUCCAGGAUGGAGUGAAGAAAUUGGAUUUGGGUCAUGGGAUAAAUCAACUCAAGGAUGCAACUCAUGUUCUUGUAGGUAGUCAUUCAGACAUUUCUUAACUCUGUUGCAAAAUCAGCUGCCACAGCUCUGCGCUGCCGGGCAUGGAAACCUCUCAUGUAUCCCCGCCUGUCACUUCUCUCCAGCAGCAUCUCUAUGCCAUGGUAGCGGCGCUCCCGCCCCGACGAUCGUAGCUGCUACUCCCGAUCUGUUGUGCCUGGGCAGUCCCAGCCGCUCCUCCCUAACAAACUUGUGCUCUUCCUUUGGCUUGCCUUCCAGAGGGUCUUCACCGCUUCAAUUUCAAUCUGCAGGACAUACACAAGUUGUAGACAAAUCGAUUGAAAUAAUAUGCUAAGCCUUGGUCUCCAUUGCCACUUUGUCAGCUUGUUGAUAUUAGAGGGAGGAUCAAUGGGGUGAUUGGUACUUUCCCUUACAGCAGGUGUACUGCAAUCCAGGAAUGCAACAGGCCAGAACAAUGGACGAUGAUGGUACUAUGAGUGGCUAGGUAUUGGCCUAUUGUGGCAAGAUGCCGGUGACUAUGAGGUGUAUAAAAUCUGGAUUUGUAAAUGACCCAGGUUGCCUUGGGGGCCAAAUGCUGCAAACAGGUCAAGAACAGUCCUGUAACUUUGAAGACACCUCCAGAUGUUGUGAUUCUGCAAAUUAUCUGGUUACCAAGAACAAGGGCAUCAUCAAACCAGAUGUUGUAUAUUAUCUGUCCAUAAUCUGGUUGUGUAUCUUGCAAAACACAAGUGUGUGCAUUGUAAACAAGAGAGACAGGGAGAAUUGAGGGAAACGCCACGCUUGGGCGAUCAGCUCAUAUUAGUAUAUAUAUCCAUCAUGUACAGAUGCCUUGGGAAACAAGGACUUGACCCAGCCGUAUCAAUCAUAGACAGAAUACAAUCCGAUAAUACGGCAAGGGCUGAUUACAUGCCAAAUAUACAGGAUAUUUACUUUAACAUCCCCCCUCAGGCAGUGCGUCGGGAGGACGAACGCACAGGCUGUACCGAAAGUCCAAAAAGAGCUGAGACGGUAGACCCUUCGUCAUGAUGUCAGCGAACUGUUGAGACGAUGGCACAUGAAGAACCCGAAUCUGCCCGAGAGACACCUUUUCACGAACAAAAUGGAUGUCAAUCUCAAUAUGCUUCGUGCGGCGAUGUUGCACAGGGUUGGAGGCCAUGUAGACAGCACUGACAUUGUCGCAAAAGACGAUGGUCGCGGAGUGGAGGGGUCGAUGAAGCUCAUGAAGAAGCUGACGGAGCCAACAACACUCAGCUACAGCAUGGGCCACUGCGCGAUACUCCGCCUCGGCACUAGAGCGGGAGACUAUAGCCUGGCGCUUGGAAGACCAUGACACAAGGUUGUCCCCAAGGUAAACACAGUAGCCAGAAGUGGAGCGACGAGUGUUGGGACAACCUGCCCAGUCAGCGUCGGAGUAGGCCGUGAGAGACGUAGCCGGUGUCGAGUGGAGGCGAAGACCAAGAUCCAAUGUGCCCUUGACAUAGCGAAGAAUCCUCUUUACAAGGUUUAGAUGCGGCUCCCGUGGUGCAUGCAUGUACAAACAUGCCUGUUGUACAGCGUGAGCUAUGUCAGGACGUGUCAGUGUCAAGUACUGAAGUGCACCGGCAAAACUGCGGUACUCCGUGGGAUCGUCAACGAGAGGACCCUCAUCGGCGGAGAGCUUGCAACGAGUGUCGAUGGGGGUGGCACACGGGUUGCAAUCAAGCAUGCCGGCACGGUGAAGAAGGUCGAUGGCGUACUGGCGUUGGGAUAAAAGCAUCCCCGAUGACGAGCGAGAGACCGAAAUCCCGAGGAAAUAGGAUAGAUCCCCGAGAUCCGUCAUAGAGAACUCGCGGUGAAGCAUGUCGGUGAUGUGCUGUAGUAGAUCCGAACUCGAAGCUGUGAGGAUGAUAUCAUCAACGUACAACAGUAGGUACGCAAGCUCAUCGCCUUGUCGAAGUAUGAAGAGAGAAGCAUCACAAAGAGAUGCGACGAAGCCGAGGCGAUGAGCAUAGUGGGCGAAGCGUUGGUACCAUGCCCUCGGAGCCUGCUUGAGACCGUAGAGCGACUUGUGAAGGCGACACACGUGAUGAGGACGAGCCGAGUCGAUAAAGCCAGGGGGCUGCUCACAGUACACCACCUCGUCAAUUGUGCCAUGGAGAAAGGCAUUUUUGACAUCGAGUUGGUGAACCGGCCAGCCACGAGAAGCCGCGAUGGUGAGGACGACGCGGAUGGUGGCAGGCUUGACGACGGGGCUAAAUGUCUCGUCAAAGUCGACGCCCGGCUGCUGAGAAAAGCCACGAACCACCCAUCGAGCCUUGUAGCGAGCAAGGCCACCAUCAGAUGCGAACUUAUGCUUGAAGAUCCAUUUACCUGAAACAACAUUAGCACCAACCGGACAAGGAACCAGGGUCCAUGUGCGAUUAUGAAUUAGUGCAUUAUAUUCAUCAGCCAUUGCACUACGCCAGUUAGGAUCAUGGAGGGCACCCCGGUAUGUUUUAGGAAUAGGAGAAAUGGAGGUGUGAACAGCCGAAAGAUUAAGACGAUCAACCGGUUGGACAAUGCCGUGCUUGAGGCGUGUCAGCAUAUGGUGUGUGUUGGUGGCUGGUUCGGUGCGAGAGACAGUACGUCCACGUUGGGUUUUUGGCUGGGUUUCUGGUGCAGCAGCUUGCGCCGGCGAAGCGACAGGUGCGGGAGAGUUGGCCGAGGUAGGCGAGGCAUGCAUAGGAGGAGAAUCAGGUGCUGGUGAGUGUGGCUGAUGCAUGGGCGAGCUAGGACAGGAACUAGCACCUGAGCUAGGACAUGCAGUAGUACGUGGAUCAGUAGUACGUGCAUGUGGUGCAACAGGAGCAUGCGUGAGGGAAGGAGUGAAUGGAGGUGGCUCGGUGGCUACUAAAUCCAGAAGAAAGUCGAGAGAUGUAGCGGAAGGAGCAGGGUUAAUACUAGCAAACGGAAAUGUAUGUUCGUCGAAAAUGACAUGACGAGAAGUGAUUAUACGCCGACUUGAAAGAUCAAGACAACGAUAGCCACGAUGUGAGGAGGGGUAUCCAAGAAAAACACAUGCAGUGGAGCGAGGGCAUAAUUUGUGUUUUGCUGUGGCAGAUUGGUUUGGGUAGCAAAGGCAUCCGAAAACACGUAGCUCGGCAUAGGAAGCGGGCAUGCGAUAAAGAAGCUCGUAUGGGAUGGAAAACCCAAUAGGCUGAGAAGGUCGUCGGUUUAGAAGAUAGGUAGCAGCAGCAAGAGCUUCAGCCCAAUAAGAGGAGGGCAUGUGGGCUUGGAAGAGAAGUGUACGAGUAAUAUCAUUGAGGGUGCGAAGAGCACGCUCGGCUUUUCCAUUUUGUGGAGAUGUGUAGGGACAUGAAAGGCGAAGAUGGAUGCCGUGACCAGUAAAGAAGGUGGACAAUGUGGAGUUGACAAACUCAGUGCCAUUGUCGGCUUGCAUGGCAACAACGGGAAGGUCAAACUGUGUGCGUGCAAAUGCCACAAAGUUAGUAAUCACAGUGGUUGCAUCUGACUUAUGGCGGAGAGGAAAUGUCCACAUGUAGUGGGAGUAAUCAUCGACAAUAACAAGAUAGUAUUUUAAACCAGAAUUACUCGGAAUAGGAGAUGUCCACAAAUCACAGUGAAUUAACUGAAAAGGCACCACACUAAAAGUUUUAGACCUAGAAAACGGCAAAUGAACAUGCUUGCCAAGUUGACACGCAUGGCAGACUGAAACGGCUGCAUUAUUACAAGGAAUAGCAAACUGUUUUGAUAAAUGUGACAUAGCGUCACGACCUGGAUGACCUAAUCGACGAUGCCAUAGCUCGGUGGAGUCGGAUGAUGCGAGGAGUCCAAAAGUAGAUGACGGGUUGGCGGCGGCGGAGACGGUGUAGAGAGGACCGGGACUAUUGCAGCGUGUGAUCUCGCGCCUGGUUCGAAGAUCCUUGAUGGAAAAACCAAGAGGGUCAAACUCCACAGAACAAGAAUUAUCGGUACUAAAUUUGCGAGUAGAAAGAAGAUUUUUAAUAAUAUCAGGAACGACAAGGACAUUAUUGAGAGCAAAGGUACGUGCCGAAGUAGGCAAAGUCAUGUGGCCGGUGGAGACAACGGGUAAAGUGACCCCAUUGCCGACGGUGAUAUGAGAAAACGGAGGCGGUUUGGAAGGAAGAGAGAUUAUACCAGGGUUGGAAACCAUAUGGGAGGUGGCUCCCGAGUCCAUGAUCCAUUCACCAGCGGAUGAAGAUGAUGCAGCAGCAUUAUUUAGGGCAGCCAUGAGCGCCGAGCAGUCCCAAGCUGGAGCGCCGUGGCUGGAGGGUGUACCCGGUGGCGGUGGGUCAGUGCCGUACGCCUGCCCAUGGAGUGGAGCGAGCAGCGUAGUAUACGCUUGCUGCUGGGGCGGCGCGUACGCAAACUGCUGUUGGGCAGGUACGUACGGGCGCUGGGGUGCAGCAGGCCGCGGUCCAAGAAGGCCUGCUCCACCAGCGGGGCGCCAGGAGACCGGCAGCGGCUGGGCCUGGCCCGUGUAGGGGUUGAAGCAGAUCCACGGACCAGCUGCAGCGUGGGUACCGGAAGAGCCACCGCCGUUGUGGUUACGCUCGCCACCGUUGCCACGGUAGUGACCGACGCCCCCGUUCUUCUUCUUUUUCUGGAAGCGGCCGCCGUUGCCGCCGGAGUUGCGGUCACCUGAGGAGCGGUCUCCAUUGUAGGCACCGCCAGAGGAGGCACCGGCGCCGUGGCCGUACAUGGCGGUCUGCGGCGGUGGCGUAGGCAUGGUGUGCGAGAGCUGCGUCUCACGAAGAAGAAGGAGAGACCUUGUCUGCAGGAACGUAGGGAACGGAACCUGCAUGGUGACCAGAGUGGUGAUGUCGGCGAAGCGAGAAUUGAGGCCACGUAGGCACGUCAAGACCAAGGUCUGAUCCGACACCGGCUGGCCGACGUCGCGGAGUGCAUCAGAGAGGGAUUUGAGCCGGUGACAAUAGGCGGUGAUGGUGAGAUCGCCUUGGACGAUGGCACGGAACUCCGCCUCGAGAUAAACAGCGCGCGUCAUCUGGUUGUCGAGGAACAAGUUCUGGAUGAGCGUGUACGCCUCGUGCGCCGUCUGGUCUUCCGCCAUGAUAAUAUCCAGGAUGUCGUCGCUAAUGGAGCCGUACAACCACGAGCGGACGACGAAGUCCUCGCGGCUCCACUCUGGCGUGCGAUCAGCAGCCGGAGUAGCGGCAGCUAUAUGGCCGAUGAGGUCGUACUUGCCCAAGAGAACGGUGAUCAGCAUGCGCCACUUGGUAAAGUUCGACGCCUUGAGGUCGAGGACGACGGGGACAUGGGUCUUGACGCUGGCCACAUGCACUGCGUUGGAGGCCGGGGAUGCAGGAGCCGUGACGGUGGUGAGGGCGCUGUUUGUGGCAGAGAGCUGAGAUGGAGAGGUCAUGGCGCCAAGAGCACCGGAGGUUUGGCCGGAGGAAGUCAUGGCGUCUAGUUGCAGGCCGAAGGAUCGAACUAUGCAGAUGCGAUGCAGAUGUAGUCUGAUACCAUGUAAACAAGAGAGACAGGGAGAAUUGAGGGAAACGCCACGCUUGGGCGAUCAGCUCAUAUUAGUAUAUAUAUCCAUCAUGUACAGAUGCCUUGGGAAACAAGGACUUGACCCAGCCGUAUCAAUCAUAGACAGAAUACAAUCCGAUAAUACGGCAAGGGCUGAUUACAUGCCAAAUAUACAGGAUAUUUACUUUAACAUGCAUGCUUGUAGGGGCAGAGCACGGUCUGCUUGUAGGGGCAGAGCACAGUCUUGCAAAACACAAGUGUGUGCAUGCUUGGAGAGUCGAGUAAUGUAAUAUUCUCUCUCUCUCUCUCUCUCUAUAUAUAUAUAUAUGUGUGUGUGUGUGUGUGUCUAUUUGAAAUACUUGGGGUCUUUCUAACAUGGAUACUGUACAUGUACGAGCUACAGGCCACUGUUGUUUAUCAUAUGAACUGUAGAUGUAGUGAUUCUGAAUUUUGUACCAUGUCCUAAAUUUCUUUAUUUUAGCAGUGGUGAUAAUACUGAUACAUUGUGUUAUCUAAAAAUGUUGUCCUGACCUUAGAUCGGGAAAAUAGAAUAAAAAGGUCAAUUAGAGAAUUGUUAGAAUUGUGGAUUGAAUGUCAGUAAUUUCUGUUUCUUUUUUGCAAUUGAAUGUUAGUGAUGUUAUAUCUGUGUUGGAUCUUGGCGAAAGAUUACAUGCAAAGUAUACAAGUGAAAAACAUAAUUCAUUUAGAUGAGCUAUUACUAGAGUAGAUAUACUUUUUUUGGCUGAAGUUAACACAGCCAAAAAAUUUCUGGCCUCGGCAACUCCAAGGCAACAAACAUGGAUGUAAGCCUAUUCAGAAGCGUUCAAGCUCCAGCUUCCUUGGAGUAGCUACACCAUUUACGACGCGUUGAUCAGCUUCCAUGGGCUGAGGGGUUGCCACAAACAAAACGGAGGCAGACGACGGGGAGGUGGUCUACGUCGGGGUAGAGGGUGACCCUAGAAAUAAGGCAAUCGGUGUGGAAGAGGGCGUUGCUGGGGAGGUCAGCGGGAGGAGAGGGAGACAAUGAUGGAUGGCACGACGAAUAGAGGAAGGGGAGGGCUGGCGAGUGGGCGGUGUCGGGCUCGUUAGAAGGGGACACUGGCGACGUCAUGGGAAGGCGCUUCAAUAGGGUUCGUGAGAAGGGGAAUUCACAACGAAGCGUCACAUGACUUGGUGGUGGCAUUCCAAUGAUUUCGGAUUUGGGAAGCUAAGCUUUGGCAGCUUCACCAAAUUGCACCGCAAGAAGCCUCCGCUUCGCAUAAUCGGCGAAGCACAGAUUUGAGGAGAUCCGAACAGUCUCUAAACUAAAAUUCUCUUGGACAGCAAUAUAUCAAACUAAAACAAUACUGAUGGAUGUGCCUAUCCUAUCUAUGGUUGAAUAUAAUUUGAUUUGUCUUAGUAUCACCUCAUGCUAUCCAUGCAUUUCUGCUCGACCUUAAAUAUUGGUACUCUCUUAAAUAUUGUUUGCACGAGGUAUUGGUGUUAUCUUAAGUAUCAUGAUGAAAAAUGUUUGCUUAUUCAAAAAAUGUUCGAAAUUUUGAAAACAAUUUUUUGGGAAAUCAGAGAAUGUUCAUGAUUUUUUAAAAAGUUUGUGUAUUAAAAAUGUUAAUGAAAUUGAACAAAAUUUUGCCAAUUCAAAAAUGAAUGGAAAAAAUAUCAAAAACAAUGUUCAUCCAUUCAAGAAAUGUUCACUGAUUCAAGAUAAUCGUUAAAAAAAUGUUCACAAUUUUUUAUAAAAUGUAUGCAAACAGUAUAAAAUGUUCAUGAGUUCAAUAAACUUUGUUGAUUUUAGAAAUAUUUGAUAAUUUGUAAAAGUGUUCACGAAUUUGAAAAAGAUCACGAUUUCAAAUAUGCUCAUGAGUUUAAAAAUGUAUUCAUGAUUUUACGAAAUUGAGAGUGAUAGUGUAUCUCAGUGAUGCAGCAAAAUGUGAUCAUGGCCAUUGAAGAUUAUGAAUUUUUUUCCCGUUGCAACGCACGGGCCCUUUUGCUAGUAUAUAUAUGAUAACACCUUAAGAGCUUAUUCUGCACGUCAAAUCGCCUUAUUCUGAUAACACUCUUCCGUCCCCCCGACCGGAACUAGAUCCACCACCCCUGAGCCUCCAUCGCCGCGCAACCCCACGCGCUCCUCCACCUUCUUCCCCGUCGGGGCCAUCGUGCCACCAGAACCACCGCUCCCCCACCUUCUUCUCUGCCGGGGCCCCCGCGCCACCAGAAACCCCGCUCCCCACCUUCUUCCUGGCACCGACGCCGCCAGAUCUCUCGCGCCCCGGCCACCGUGGCUCCAACCACCGUCUCCCCGCUCUGCCCCCCCUGGCCACCAGCACUUCCUUCGUGCAACAAGGGUAGCCGAGCACCGCAUCCGGCCGUGGGUUCACGACGAGAACCCACCGGAUCCGGCCUCCCAGAUGGCUGCGGCCGUGGGGCGUCGAGGUCACCGUGGCCCUCUCCUCCCCAGAUCCGGUGAGCCCCUCAUGGACCUCUCCUCCCUAGAUCGUGCGCCGACGGUGACAUCCAACGAGUCAGGGCGGACCUCAUCCGGCUUCUUCCCCCGCCGGCGCCGCAGCUGGCCGCACCUCCUAGUGCCCCUCGGGCUGGUCUCCCGCCGCCCCUGCCCGGCAUCACCCAUUCCCCACGCCCGGAUCCGCCAUUCGUCCUCGAUCUGGAUCAAGUCGACGACGAGCCCUCUCCUCGUGGCGGUCUCCGGCGAGACCCUCAUCUGCGCCACCCGUAGGUACUCGGGUGCCACCCCACCACGUGCAGCUUGGUCGCGGCCCCCGUGCAGCUCGGUCGCGCCGCCGCCGCCGCCCCAGCGCUGCACCUCCCUGACCAGCGCCGUUGCCGCCACUCCAGCCUUACGCCUCGCUGCAAUCCGCCCUCCUCCACGUCGACCCCUGGAUCUGACGACCGAGCCGCCACACGAGUCAAACAGGUGAGCCGCUCCUCCGCCCCGCAGUCUCCGAUUGCCAUUCUUGCAAAUUGCAAUCUUCCUCCACCGGCGCUUUGCAGGCACCGCCGUGACCCUCUUCAUUCCCUGAUCCAACUUCCAAGGAGCAGCAGGGUGUCACCGAUAGCCUCCUCAUCUCCUCUUACUCGAGCUCGGGCCGGCACCUAGCUCGGCCACACGCCGACGCUUCCCAACCCUCCACACGUGCCUCCCUGCCAGCCUCGGACCUUACCUCGCCACCAACGGGCGCAGCAGCCCCCCUGGUAUACAGCAGCGGGUCCUCCCUGGCCCCGAUGGCAGCGACAAUGUCAACAGUAGACCCCCUGUGCAGUUCACGCGAUGCACCCCUGUGGUGCGGAGCUCAUCUGCGUGUCGUUUGCUUCCCCCAUCGCAUGCGUGCAGUGCGGUUCGUAUGGUGAUGUAGCUCACCGCUUGGUGCUCCAAUGCAGUUAGACUGCCGGUGGUGUUCACCAAUUUCGCCUCCCACACGACCUGCUCACUUCACACAAGCGACGUGCGCAAGCACCUCACUAUCUAGACCAAGUGGACUCAGACUGCAGAUGGAAGUGGAUUCAAGUGGGACUAACUAGUCCAUCCCACUUAAUUUGCUUUAGUGGAAUCCCAUUGGAUAGGGAAAAAGUUAAUCGGGCUAUCCCACUUAGCCCGUUGGGAUCCCAUCUUGCCCUAUUAAGCUAGCCAACUGCACAGUAGAGCACGGUGCCACAGCAUGCUCCCGCCGCUGCCGCCGAUUGAUGGCCGUCGCCGCUGCUGCACCCCUGUUUCUUCUUCCUGGCACCAGGCCGCAAGGAUUAGUGGGCAGCUUCUUGGCCAUGGAAGCAAGAUCUGGCGGAUGUCGGGCUGCAGGCAGGUCUGCUGAUUGGUUAUGGCCGCCAAGAGGAACGUCAUGUGGUGCUCCAUGGUCGGUCGCCUGGCCGUGGAGGCGACUGCAGGUCCGAAGUGCUGGGCAAUGUCAGGUCUCAACUCUCACACACAUGAAGAACAGAGGAGUCGUGUGUUUCUGGCAGCUCUAAACAUGCUGCAAUAUUUUCUUCUCUACUUCUAUUUUCAACACCAAUGGAAAGGGAGAGCUAGUCACCGGACUACAUAUGCUUGCACUGCGGUCGUCGAUGCUGACUUGCACCGUUGCACAGCGCGCACACACACUAUAGUGGGCUCGUGCAGUGCUAACUAAAACGAAAGAAGCAAAAUUACAGAGAACAGAGGAGUAAGGGUGACACUGUAAUGUGGACUCGGCAGAUGGAUGCUAAACUAGUGCGUACUGGAGUAUUAUGUUUCAAUCUUCCAUUUGCUAAAUGGGAUCCCACUUGAGCCCAUAUAAUUUAUGCAUGUUUUGAUGGGGUGUCGAGUUACUCCCACUAAACAUAGUGGGAUCAGGUGGGUUGGAGGUGGGACUCCCAUGUAUUGUCCCACCUGCAGCCUGAAAGUGGACUGAAGUUCACAAACAAAUAUGAUUGAAGUUCCCAAAAAAGCUGUUAGAGAAACUUGUUAAAAAAGUAAGGUGCUCGUGAAGUUCAGUUUAUUAUUUCGAGACAAAGUGUAGUUUACUUGGUCAACUUGCCUUGUCGAUUCAGAAUUUGGCUUCCUUGUGUGCGCCAGCCGAAGAAUUUAUGUAUGAUAUACCUUUUGUUCCAAUCCGAGCUGACCGCUAGAUUUGUGCUUCUUUGUCUUUGAUUUCUGUUUGUUUUGCAGAAACCGAUGAAAAGGAUUCCUGGGCUAGUGCUCAUCAGUCUUGGGUGACUAGUUUUGCGCACGUAGGAGUGCAGCUUGACCAACGGGACGUGCAAUUUGGCCCAUGGCGUCGACGGUUUUCCGGUGAACUCGCGUGUGCACGGGCAGUUCCCUUGGACUAUGCACACGUGGUCGUUUUUAUGAGGGGUUCACUGUGUAUGUUGGAGAGGUUCGCUCCUCCAUGGGGGUCAUCUUUUUAGGUAGUUCACUUCCUGAAUUGUUUUAACACUCUUUUGUUUUUGUUUAAAUCCGGUCUAGUGCAGUUCGUUUGUCAUGUUGGAUAUGUUCAUUUUCAUGAAAAAAAUAAAAGGUUGAUGCAGCCCACUUCGAGGAGUCUUGUGGUUCACCGCAUUCAAUAAGGAAGAAACAGAGUGUCUUUAUCAGA